UGGGGGGGGGGUAGAACAGGAAGAGGAGAAGGUGGUCGACAGAGGGCUAAUUAAGUAUUCCUUUAGCGAACAAGGACCACCUACAGAUAUUGCAUGAAACAGAUAACCAUUUACACAACAGAGAGUGGACCAUUUAACAACUAACUGAUGCAGACUCCCUGCGGAAUUCCUCUGCUAUGAUUCGGGUCUCUUAUUUUUUUCCUGUAUGUAUGUAUAUAGGCACGUAUGUAAUUGAAAUUGCAUUAUGACCUUUGGACUGUUUUUUGUGGGGAGAAGACGUUCCAAAUGCAAGAGACUGACUUUGGGUGUAUUACACACAGCCCCUGGGUAUCUCACAGCAUGAGAUAACCUAUGCUUUUCAAACAAUAAAGAUCAUCUGAUACUAAAGGUUUUAACUUCUGCCAGUCCAUGCCUAAGGAAUUACUCUCUCAGCAGAGUUAUUUUAUACAUGCUUCUUAAACAAGACAUACGUUAUGUAAAAUAGAAGCGUUAACGUACAAAGUCAGACUCAGUGAUACGAUGCACGACCUGAAACUAGGAACACGUUUACUCCUUGCUGCACACAAGUUGCACAUAAAACACAUAGGUUGCAUUUUUUUUUUUUUUGUGAUCCAUGCAGUAAAUGUUCACAAAAAUCAAGCAAACAACUAGACAUCCUUCAGCUACUAAAAUUAACCCUUCUACUCACAGUAGACUUAACAGAAAUAACAACACUGACGGCUGCAUCGAAACCAUGCUGGGAUGAGUUUGUCCUGGAGAGGGUUGGCUGGAAGGACCAAGAGGGAAGUCACAAAUUUUCCACUUGUUUUUAUAUGGGAUCUAGGCUCUUCUCUCCUCACAUGGCUUUUCCCUAUACCACAGGCUUUUGCUAAAGAGGCAUUUCAGGCUUCGAGUGAAAACAAUCCACCCUUCAAUGAAAAAGCUCAGAGAUACUUCUCUGUGGUUUCUGAUCCUGGAAACAGCUUGCUAAACAUCCUUAAGGCAAGUGCCAGGAGUCCAAAAAAAAAAAAAAAAAUUUAAAAAUUAAAAAACCAACCACAGCCUGAAGGAGCUACUCAAAUACUAAGCAGUUCGGAGGUUCGUUUUUGUUUGUUUUUCCUUUCACAUUUUACUUUUGUGGUUGGCAUAUGGAAAACCAAACUGAGAAAUCAUAAUAUUGGAGUAUCUUAAGGGCAUGCUGUCAUAGAUGUGAACGAGCUUAUUGAUACAGUAAGACCUCUGCAGAAAGUGCUCGGCUCGAUGCCACAUUCCGGAAUAGCCACCGUUGGUUUCUUUUUCUAAAUUGUACAUGUUCACAGGUUUCACAAACACUCCUGAGGUCUUCCCAGUGUGCUUGGCGAUGAGAAAAUUCAUGGCGAUGUCAUCACAGUUCUGUGUUUCAUCUAACAAAGCGUGGACGGCGGCAGGUUGCCUCUGAAAGAGGUCAAGGUAUUUGCUGUUGAAGAAUGACGCUCCAAUCAGGACCAGAGAGUAAUGGUCACCGUUUCCAAACCCUGGUGUGUGCAGCUCAAAACCUCCGUAACUGUAGACCCCGGAGGCAGUAGCGACAUGCUUUCUUGGAACAAAUCCUACGAUUUGAUCAGGAAAUUGCUGAAAAGAUGGAAAAAGAACAAUGAAGUGUGGCAUUUCUUUAGAGCUGACAUGGCGGAAAAGGCCAUGAUUUAUUGCAGAAAGAAUUAAACUGAUCUGUCAAUGUUAUUUAUUUUAUUCCCGGCGUCUACAUCUCAAUUUCCUUUAACUCCAGGCAACCUCAUAAAUCUAUGUCCUGAUGACUUGAAAGGUCAAAUUCCGUCAUAACCCAAAUCUCUAACACAAUUUUUAACCUUGCAAAUAUUUUCUGAAUUCAAAUAUUAGCCAAUGUUAACAAAUUCUAGUCACUAAAGAGACUGGUUUUUCCGAGUUGGCUGUAAGAAAAGUGGACACAUUCAUUAAAGGAGAGUAAAAAGAUAUAAUAUGAUUAUUUGGCAAAACUGUUCUAAACUUUUAGGAGUAUAUAAAAUUAUACAUCUAUGUAUAUAAU
rnacentral:lncRNA from 1 species